rnacentral:rRNA from 1 species
UUCCGGUUGAUCCCGCCGGAGGUCAUUGCUAUUGGGGUCCGAUUUAGCCAUGCUAGUUGUGCGAGUUCAGCCUCGCAGCAAAUAGCUCCGUAACACGUGGCCAAACUACCCUACGGAGGAGGAUAACCUCGGGAAACUGAGGCUAAUACUCCACACCGUACUCACGCUGGAAUGCCGAAUACACCAAACGCUCCGGCGCCGUAGGAUGUGGCUGCGGCCGAUUAGGUAGACGGUGGGGUAACGGCCCACCGUGCCGAUAAUCGGUACGGGUUGUGAGAGCAAGAGCCCGGAGAUGGAUUCUGAGACAAGAAUCCAGGCCCUACGGGGCGCAGCAGGCGCGAAACCUUUACACUGCACGCAAGUGCGAUAAGGGGACCCCAAGUGCGAGGGCAUACAGUCCUCGCUUUUCUGUACCGUAAGGUGGUACAGGAAUAAGUGCUGGGCAAGACCGGUGCCAGCCGCCGCGGUAAUACCGGCAGCACGAGUGAUGACCGAUAUUAUUGGGCCUAAAGCGUCCGUAGCCGGCCAAGCAAGUCCGUCGGGAAAUCCACCAGCCCAACUGGUGGGCGUCCGGCAGAAACUGCCUGGCUUGGGACCGGAAGACUCGAGGGGUACGUCUGGGGUAGGAGUGAAAUCCCGUAAUCCUGGACGGACCGCCGAUGGCGAAAGCACCUCGAGAAGACGGAUCCGACGGUGAGGGACGAAAGCUAGGGUCUCGAACCGGAUUAGAUACCCGGGUAGUCCUAGCCGUAAACGAUGUCUGUUAGGUGUGGCACCCACUACGAGUGGGUGCUGUGCCGUAGGGAAGCCGCUAAACAGACCGCCUGGGAAGUACGUCCGCAAGGAUGAAACUUAAAGGAAUUGGCGGGGGAGCACUACAACCGGAGGAGCCUGCGGUUUAAUUGGACUCAACGCCGGACAUCUCACCAGCACCGACAGUAGCAAUGAAGCUCAGUGUGAUGAGCUUAGCAGAGCUACUGAGAGGAGGUGCAUGGCCGCCGUCAGCUCGUACCGUGAGGCGUCCUGUUAAGUCAGGCAACGAGCGAGACCCGCAUUCCUAAUUGCCAGCAACACGUUCGCGUGGUUGGGUACAUUAGGAAGACUGCCGUGGCCAACACGGAGGAAGGAACGGGCAACGGUAGGUCAGUAUGCCCCGAAUGUGCUGGGCUACACGCGGGCUACAAUGGUCGAGACAAUGGGUUCCUACCUCGAAAGAGGACGGUAAUCCCGUAAACUCGAUCGUAGUUCGGAUUGAGGGCUGAAACCCGCCCUCAUGAAGCUGGAUUCGGUAGUAAUCGCGUUUCAACAAAGCGCGGUGAAUACGUCCCUGCUCCUUGCUCACACCGCCCGUC